CCUGCCACCUCUGCUUGACUUGAGACUCCCCCAUCAGAACUCUACCAUCCUCGCCCUUGAUGCACCUAAUUUGGUCAAGAUCACGCGCUUUCCUUUCCCUUUCUUUAGCUAACCGGAAUAACUUCCCUGUCCCCGCCUUUCUCCCAUAAUUCCUCGUACAUGUGACCAAACGCCGCGUUUUUGGCUUCCGUAACCGCCAUCUUUGCUUCUUUCCUCGCCGCCUUGUAGAUCUCCCUGUUCGCUCUCCGUUCUNNN
rnacentral:lncRNA from 1 species